rnacentral:rRNA from 1 species
UUCCGUAGGGGGAACCUGCGGAGGGAUCAUUACAGAGUUCAUGCCCUCCGGGUAGAUCUCCCACCCACUGUUAUCACUACUCUCGUUGCUUUGGCGGGCCGCUGGGCCCUGCCCGGCCGCCGGCCCCGGCUGGCGCGUGCCCGCCAGAGACCUCACAGACUCUGAAUGUUAGUGUCGUCCGAGUAACUAUACAAUCGUUAAAACUUUCAACAACGGAUCUCUUGGUUCUGGCAUCGAUGAAGAACGCAGCGAAAUGCGAUAAGUAAUGCGAAUUGCAGAAUUCAGUGAGUCAUCGAAUCUUUGAACGCACAUUGCGCCCUGUGGUAUUCCGCAGGGCAUGCCUGUUCGAGCGUCAUUUCAACCCUCAAGCCUCGCUUGGUGUUGGGCCCUGCCCGCCGCGGCCGGCCCUAAAGACAGUGGCGGCGCCGCCUGGCCCUCAGCGUAGUACAGCUCUCGCUCCAGGGUCCGGCGGCAGCCUGCCAGAACCCCCCAACUCUGUGGUUGACCUCGGAUCAGGUAGGGAUACCCGCUGAACUUAAGCAUAUC